UACGGGAGGCAGCAGUGGGGAAUAUUGGACAAUGGGCGAAAAGCCUGAUCCAGCAAUGCCGCGUGUGUGAAGAAGGUCUUCGGAUUGUAAAGCACUUUCGACGGGGACGAUGAUGACGGUACCCGUAGAAGAAGCCCCGGCUAACUUCGUGCCAGCAGCCGCGGUAAUACGAAGGGGGCUAGCGUUGCUCGGAAUGACUGGGCGUAAAGGGCGCGUAGGCGGAACAUACAGUCGGAUGUGAAAUUCCCGGGCUCAACCUGGGGGCUGCAUUUGAUACGUGUGAUCUAGAGUGAGGAAGAGGGUCGUGGAAUUCCCAGUGUAGAGGUGAAAUUCGUAGAUAUUGGGAAGAACACCGGUGGCGAAGGCGGCGACCUGGUCCUUUACUGACGCUGAGGCGCGAAAGCGUGGGGAGCAAACAGGAUUAGAUACCCUGGUAGUCCACGCUGUAAACGAUGUGUGCUGGAUGUUGGGCAACUAGUUGCUCAGUGUCGUAACUAACGCGAUA
rnacentral:rRNA from 1 species